AAAAUUCAGUUUGGUCCCUCAAUUUAUAGAAAUUGCAGUUUAGUCCCCGAACUUUGGAAAUUUUACAGAUUGGUCCCUGGGGCAUAAAUUGAGGUUCUGGACAGAACUGAGGAUGAUUUAAAGGCAAAAUUCCAGUAUAAUUAAUAUUUUCAGUUUGGUCCUCCAAUUUGACAAAAAGUAUAAUUUGACCCUAAAAAUUUGGUAAAGUUCCAGAAUGGUCCUUGGAGCAUAAUGAUAUAUCCUGGACAGAAUUGAGGAUUAAUUAUGGAUAAAUUUCAGUAUGGUUAUAUAUUUACAGUUCGGUCCUCAAAAUUUGGUAAAAUUACGUUUUGGUCCCUAUUUUGGAAAAUUGUCGUUUUAGUCCCUAAACUUGGGAGAUUAAGCCCGGUUUAUUUUAUGCUUUGGGAUCUUUUGUUUGAUCUGUUUUUGAGUAUAUUUCAUAUAUUUAUUGUAGGUUCUCCUAACGAUCCUUAAUCGGAUUUCCGGGUCUUUUGUCUGACAUUCCUUUAGUUCAGUAUUUUCCGGGUGAGUGGAAUAAUCUUUAAUAUGCAUAUAAUAUAAAUAAAUAUGUAUGUUGAUUAUACAAUGAGUACAACUAGUAAAUUUCUUGAAUAUUUAUAUAUGUUGCUUUAUUUUCCGAGUACUCAUUUAUUCUUGAAUUUGCACUCGCAAUCUGUUAAAGUAAAUUCUAUUUGAUAUGAUAUACGUUUCUUUGAUGAUUAUGUGAAUAUCUGUUAUGCCUUGAUAUGAGACUUGUCAGUACUCCAUGCUAACGGAGAAUAGUUAGCCUGUGUGCACAUAGUAUUCUGUUACCUAGCUGGUGAGAGAGGCAUCAGCCUGUGGUGAUUGAUCAUCCCACAGUGGUCACCGACGGUGUCAUCUGGUCACCUUCGGGUGUCAUCUGAUUCUGACAUGUAAUCCAC
rnacentral:lncRNA from 1 species